UUCACUGUCAGUCUUGUCGUUCGAGUCUACAACUAGCAUACUCUGCAAGAAGAAUUUUGAAGUUUCACUUGGUCUUUCAAUAGGUUUCUCCUCAACUGUUGGUUCUUCAUGUUUUUCUUCAACUGCUGGUUCAAGGUUUUCCUCAACUGCUACAUAUUCAGCAACAUCAUUGUUAUUGCAUUGAAUUUCACGGUUUCUCCUCUUCAACUGCUGGUUCUUCUGGUUUCUCUUCAAAUGCUAGUUCUUUAGGUGUUUCUUCCCAUGUUGGUUCUUCAGGUUCCUCAUUUGCUGCUGGUUCUUCAGGUUUUUCCCCAGCCGUUGGCUCUUCAGGUUCUUCAGGGUUUUCCUCAACUUCUGAAAAGCGAGCAUCAUUAUUGUUGGUAAUGCUUGGAAUUUUACUGUCAGUUUUGUCGUUCGAGACUACAACUGGCAUACUCUGCAAGAAAAGAACUUUAAAGUCUUACUUAGUCUUUCAGUAGGUUUCUUCUCAAAUGCUGGUGCUUCACGUUUCUCCUCAAUUGAUGGUUUUUCAGAUUUCUCUUCAACAGCUGGUUCUUCAGGUUUCUUCUCAACCGUUGGUUCUUCAGGUUUUUCUUCAACUACUGGUUCUUCAAGGUGGAAUGAAAUCCCUGACAUCUCUUCGCCUGACUUGUUUGGUGUAUCGACUGACACAUGGACUUCCAUUGAACUGCUAAUUUCUUCAACAGCCUUGGCAACUGAGGGUGAUUCAAAAAUAUUUUCACCCUCAGUUUUUCCGUUGUUACCUUGAAUGGGAUCCUUAACAUUUUCAACCUCUGAAGUUCUUUCAACCUCAGUUGGCUUACUUACAGAUGUGGCCUUGGAACAAGCUCCUUAACUUCUGAAAAUGUACGCACACAUUACUGCUUGGUCAGGAUGCUCUUCAAUUAGCAGGGUUCUAACUCCUAAGUCCCACGUUAAGUUGGGUGCAUGACAAUGAUCAUACAUGAAGAUGGAUAUCCUUAAUUCCGGUUCUUUAGUGACAAACUUUGAACUUUGAAACAAAUGGAGAAUUAGAAACAGUUGUGGCUACAUGAGAAUGAUAAACACACAAGACGAUGAAGUGGCAUGCUCACAUAAAGUAAAGCUGGUUGACAAAAAUGACGAAUGACAACGGGAAUCAGACUGUUUCUAUGGUGACUGCCAAUGCAUCGACAAGCCGAACAACACCGGCAUUGGCAACGGCAGAAAAAUCCGAAAAAUUUUUCGAGAUUGAUUUCAAGUACUGGCAGCAGAAGAUGUUCUUUUACUUGACGACUUUAAGUCUGCAGAAGUUCAUUACAGAAGAUGUUCAUGUUUUGCCCAACGAAACUCCAGAAAAUAAACGCUUUCUCGUGACUGAGUCAUGGAAGCAUUCUGAUUUUCUAUGCAAGAAUUACAUUCUUAGCGGACUAGAGGACGAUCUGUAUAAUGUCUAUAGUAAUAUGGAGACAUCAAAACAAUUGUGGAUAACGCUUGAAAGGAAAUAUAAAACGGAAGAUGCCAGGUUAAAGAAAUUCGUUGCGGCUAAAUUUUUGGACUAUAAAAUGGUAGAUAGCAAGUCUGUUAUUACCCAAGUCCAAGAAUUGCAAGUGAUUAUUCACGAUCUCCUUGCUGA